rnacentral:lncRNA from 1 species
CGAAUCUGGUACCGGGACUUGGGGAGCGAGGGAUGCAACAUGGUGCAUCUGGGAGGCCUGCUAACUGGCUAACUUCUCCGGCGUUCCUCCCGGCCGAGGCGUGGGCACAGAAUAGCGCAGUUUGAAGACAUCAUUUUCCAGUUUUGGAGCCGACUAAUGAACUAGUUCUUAAGUGAAAGGCAUUUAACACGACUGUGCAUCUACAGGUACUAGGUUUCCAAGAUGCCUUUCCAGACUAAAACCCACACAUGUGAGCCGCUGGCCGGACAAACAUCUGGCACCUAACGUGGGGCUGAAAAACAGCAGAGGACAUUUGGAAGAAACACUGCUGGUUUGGAGCUCCAUAGAAGAAGAAAAUAAUUAAAGGAAAUUCAUACCAGAGAAGAAUCCCUAAGUACUGUAGAAUACAGUUUGGAAACAUGAUCUUCACCCCAGUGUUUCUAGACCUUGCUGUCUAUGAAGCUCUCAAAUCCCACCUGAUAGUGUCUACUCAACAAUGAAGAGCUUCAUCAUCAUCGUCAUUGUUGUUCCACCUCCAAGGCUAGAAUUUUCUUCUUCCACCAUUGAAGGAAGCUGCAGCUCCUCUCCUCUGGAUCUUUAUGACCACACCAGGAAGCAUUGUGAUCUGCAGUCACUGCCAACCUGCAGGAUAACACAGCUUGUUCCUCUGGGAACUGCCCUGCAGUGUCUGCAUACAGCCACCCUCGACCUGUCUGCCUGGUCUUUGCAACCUCUAGUGGCUGUUGUUCCACAAUGUGUUGUGAAGAGACCUGAAUGGUUUGCACCAAAACACAAACACAAACCAUUGGGAGAGUGAUUGGUGAAGUGAUGGACAUUUACUCGGGCAAAGGCAUGCAUGUAAAAUAGUCCCUAUCUGGAUGGACCUACGCCUGUGGCAGGAAGUUCACUGGUCAAUUACCUGCUGACUGAAGUGGCCUAUUUUCUUCUGACCCCCUGCUUCUCUCUUCCCCUCUCCGCCCUGAAAGCUGUUUGGGCAUAGGGAGGUCUUGACCUGAGGAAACCAUCUUGGGUAACCAAGGCAAGGAAAGGGAAUAUGCAACACCUAGGAGAUUUCAGCAAACAGUAGAAUCAUGCCAACGUAAUCUGUGUUAAAAUGCUUGGAAUGUGGGAGCCGCCGGUGAUGUCUGUUGUCUGUGUGUCUCCAGUAAUCCUUUCUUUUUUAAGUGCAGCAAAGCCAAGCCUGGAAACCAGGCCAAGCGCCUGCCACUUACCUUAAAUUUAUCAGCCACUUUGAGAUUAAAACCCCUGAAAGCUGCUGCACAGUGAAAGCAAGGCCUCCUUCACAUUAAAGGCAAAUCGCAACUCUG